rnacentral:rRNA from 1 species
GACGUGAGGAUAAAUUUAAUUAUAAUUAAAGGGAAGUUAAUUAUAUAUAAAAUUUAAAUUUAAUAUUUUAUUUAUAGGUGAAAUUAAUAAAUUAGAAUUAAUAAUUUAAACUUAAUGAAUCUUAAAAAUCUGUUUAAGAAACUA